ACGAAAUGAGGAACGCGACACAAAGAAGCUGAUUGGUCUGAGCUGCUGUUUGAACUGACUCCUCGAGGACGCGCAUUUCUGUCAGUGUUUGCUGAUUCCAAGAAGUGCAGUGCUGAGCUAAAGAAAAAGAUGAUCUGGAAAUUGAUGGAACCCUUUCACUUCCAUUUUAUGAAUCACCAAGGACCAUGGAUUCAGUCACCUACAUUUUAAAUGGCCUGAGGGCUUCUGAUGAUGAGGAGUCACACCAAAACGUUCCAAUCGGAAUCUGCGAAAACGAAGAUGUUGCACAGCAUCCCCUGUCUUUCUCCUCCAUCCCGUAAAGAAUCGUCUCAGAGGGUAAUCUUAGGAAGGACGUUUUAGAGAACCUCCCUCAGGCCAUUUGUUCUUGUUUUUGGAUUGACUUAUGCCUUGCAUCUUGAUUAAUGAGCAAUGAGCUCAUUGAUUAACGAGCAAUACAUUAAACACAUACAUUUUCUCUUGGUUUUAUUAGACAAAAUCUCAACAUACCUAAAGUUACCUGA